CGGGCGCGUGUUUUUGAGUGGCAUAAAUUAUUUUCUGAAGGUCGAGAGUGCACCGGAAUCCAAUUCAGUUGUAAUUCAAAUUCAAAACCAUGCUGAUCGUUUUCUUCGAUAUCAACGGCCUCGUGAUGACUGAAUGGGUUCCAGAGUGUCAAACUGUGAACCAACAUUACUAUUUGACAGUUUUAGGAUAACGCACCUGCCCAUAACGCGCUGUCUGUGAAGCGUUAUUUGGUCGCUUAAGGCACUCCAGU